AGUCGACGCGAAAGUUCCCUUCGGGGAGCAAGUAGAGUGGCGCACGGGUGAGUAACACGUAGGUAAUCUACCUUUGGAUUGGGAAUAACCACCGGAAACGGUGGCUAAUACCGAAUAAUGCAGCGGCACCUAAUGGUGACAGUUGUUAAAGCGGGGGAUCGCAAGACCUCGCGUCUGAAGAGGAGCCUGCGGCAGAUUAGCUAGUUGGUAAGGUAACGGCUUACCAAGGCGAUGAUCUGUAGCCGGCCUGAGAGGGCGGUCGGCCACACUGACACUGACAUACGGGUCAGACUCCUACGGGAGGCAGCAGUCGGGAAUUUUGGGCAAUGGGCGAAAGCCUGACCCAGCAACGCCGCGUGAAGGAUGAAAUCCUUCGGGAUGUAAACUUCGCAAGAACGGGAAGAAUAAGUAAGGGUUAAUAUCUCUUACGAUGACGGUACUGUUUGUAAGCUCCGGCUAACUCCGUGCCAGCAGCCGCGGUAAUACGGGGGGAGCAAGCGUUGUUCGGAUUUACUGGGCGUAAAGGGCGCGUAGGCGGCCACCGCAAGUCGACUGUGAAAUCUCCGGGCUUAACCCGGAAAGGUCAGCCGAUACUGCGGGGCUAGAGUGCAGAAGGGGCAACUGGAAUUCUCGGUGUAGCGGUGAAAUGCGUAGAUAUCGAGAGGAACACCUGCGGCGAAGGCGGGUUGCUGGGCUGACACUGACGCUGAGGCGCGAAAGCUAGGGGAGCGAACGGGAUUAGAUACCCCGGUAGUCCUAGCCUUAAACGAUGAAUGCUUGGUGUCUGGG
rnacentral:rRNA from 1 species